AAUUAUGGACAAUGGGGGUAACGCUGACCCAGCCAUCCCGCGUGUAUGAUGAAGGACUUCUGGUUGUAAAUUACUUUUUGCAGAGAAGAAUAGGUAUCUCCUAAUACGAGAUACUUCUGACGGUAUCUGCUGAAUAAGCACCGGCUAACUACGAUCCAGCAGCCGCGGUAAUACGUAGGGUGCAAGCGUUAAUCGGAAUUACUGGGCGGAAAGCGGGUGUAGGCGGUUCGGAAAGAAAGAUGUGAAAUCCCAGGGCUCAACCUUGGAACUGCAUUUUUAACUGCCGAGCUAGAGUAUGUCAGAGGGGGGUAGAAUUCCACGUGUAGCAGUGAAAUGCGUAGAUAUGUGGAGGAAUACCGAUGGCGAAGGCAGCCCCCUGGGAUAAUACUGACGCUCAGACACGAAAGCGUGAGGAGCAAACA
rnacentral:rRNA from 1 species